UGCAGCAGCGUGUAAUACGUAGGUGCAUGCGUUAUCAGAUUAAUGGCGUACAGCGCACGGCAGGCGUCUACUUAAGUCUGAUGUGAAAGCCCCGAGCUCACCUGGGGAGGUGUCAUUGAAACUGGUGGACUUGAGUGCUAGAAAGAGGGAGAGUAGAAUUCCCAUGUGUAGCGGUGAAAUGCGUAGAGGAUGUGGAGGAACACCGGUGGGCGAAGGCGGACCUCUUGGAUCAUAGACUGACCGUGAGGUGGGGAAAGCGUGGGGAGCAAACAGGAUUAGAUACCGUGGUAGUCACGCUGUAAACGAUGUAGAUUUAGAGGUAGGAGGUUUUAAGCCCUGUUUGUGGGAGAGAACGCGCUAUAUCCACUGCCCGGGGAGUGUACGCUCGAAGUUAAAAAUCUAAAGAAAAUACGGGGGGCCGCACACACGGGGGGGCACGUGUUUUAAUUUGAGACGACGCGAAAAACACUACCCAAUGUUGACAUCCCGUGAGUCAACCAGAGAUAGAGGAGUUCCCUUUGGAACGCAGAGACACAGGUGGCACAGGUGUGUUCAGAUCUUGUUUUGAAAUGUUUGGGUUAAUCCCCCAAAGAGAGCAACCCCUUUCUUUUGUUUCCCGCACGUAAUGUUGGGAACUCAAAGGAGACUGCCGGUGAUAAACCGGAGGAAGGUGGGGAUGACGUCAAGUCAUCAUGCCCCUUAUGACUAGGGCUACACACGUGCUACAAUGGCAGAUACAAAGAGAAGCGACCUCGCGAGAGCAAGCGAAACUCAUAAAUUCUUUCGUAGUCCGGAUUGCAGUCUGCAACUCGACUCCAUGAAGUCGGAAUCGCUAGUAAUCGUAGAUCAGAAUGCUACGGUGAAUACGUUCCCGGGCCUUGUACACACCGCCCGUCACCCCAUGGGAGUGGGACCAAAAGAAGUAGGUAGGUUAACCUUCGG
rnacentral:rRNA from 1 species